rnacentral:rRNA from 1 species
UACGGAGGGUGCAAGCGUUAUCCGGAUUCACUGGGUUUAAAGGGUGCGUAGGUGGGUUGCCAAGUCCGUGGUGAAAUCUCCGAGCUUAACUCGGAAACUGCCGUGGAUACUGGUAAUCUUGAAUAUCGUGGAGGUAAGCGGAAUAUGUCAUGUAGCGGUGAAAUGCUUAGAUAUGACAUAGAACACCGAUAGCGAAGGCAGCUUGCUACACGAUUAUUGACACUGAGGCACGAAAGCGUGGGGAGCAAACAGG